AGGGAGAAGAAUUGGGGUACCUUUGCACCAUGGCCUGGACUCAUCUCCUCCUCAGCCUUCUUGCUCACUGCACAGGCUCUGUGGCUUCCUAUGUUCUGACACAACAGCCAUCAGCAUCAGUGGCCUUGAGAGAGACAGCCAGGAUCACUUGUCAAGGAGACAGCAUAGAAGACUAUAAUGUGCACUGGUACCAGCAGAAGCCAGGCCAGGCCCCUGUGCUGGUCAUCUAUGGUGAUAGCAACCGGCCCUCUGAGAUCCCUGACCGAUUCUCAGGCUCCAACUCGGGGAACACGGCCACCCUGGUCAUCAGUGGGGCCCAGUCCGAGGAUGAGGCUGACUAUUACUGUCAGGUGUGGGAUAGUGGUAAUGCUCACAAUUUCCUGCACACCCAGUUCUCCAUCUUAGAGUCUGCUUCCAGUGAACCCAAUCUAAGAGGGAAAGCUGUCCCCAAUAUGAUCAUCAGGGCCCGAGGAGGCCACUAUACACCCACAGAGUUCUGGUCUCACCUAAGUCCUGAAUUCAAGGUCUAA